rnacentral:tRNA from 1 species
ACUUUUUUAUUAUAAUAAAUUAUAUUUGAUUUCCAAUCAAAAGAUCUUAAUAAAAAGAAAAAGUA